rnacentral:rRNA from 1 species
GUAGGGAAUAUUGGGCAAUGGUCGGAAGACUGACCCAGCCAUGCCGCGUGCAGGAAGACGGCCCUCUGGGUUGUAAACUGCUUUUAUCUGGGAAGAAAAAGGCCAUGCGUGGCAAAUUCCCGGUACCAGAUGAAUAAGCACCGGCUAACUCCGUGCCAGCAGCCGCGGUAAUACGGCGGGUGCGAGCGUUGUCCGGAUUUAUUGGGCUUAAAGGGUGCGUAGGCGGCUGAUUAAGUCAGCGGUGAAAGACUUCGGCUUAACCGGAGCAGUGCCGUUGAUACUGGUUGGCUUGAGUGUCGGAGGGGUACAUGGAAUUGAUGGUGUAGCGGUGAAAUGCAUAGAUACCAUCAGGAACACCGAUAGCGAAGGCAUUGUACUGGCCGACAACUGACGCUGAUGCACGAAAGUGUGGGGAUCGAACAGGAUUAGAUACCCGGGUAGUCC